UGCGAAAUAAACUAAAAAAGUUAUUGGGUUCAUGUCCCAAAUAUAUCUAAGGAAGGUUUUCGUCA
rnacentral:tRNA from 1 species